rnacentral:rRNA from 1 species
GAUAUCUGAUUAGCUAGUUGGUAGGGUAAAAGCCUACCAAGGCAUCGAUCAGUAGCUGGUCUGAGAGGACGACCAGCCACACUGGAACUGAGACACGGUCCAGACUCCUACGGGAGGCAGCAGUGGGGAAUUUUGGACAAUGGGCGCAAGCCUGAUCCAGCAAUGCCGCGUGAGUGAAGAAGGCCUUCGGGUUGUAAAGCUCUUUUGUCAGGGAAGAAACGGACUUUUCUAAUACAGAGGUCUAAUGACGGUACCUGAAGAAUAAGCACCGGCUAACUACGUGCCAGCAGCCGCGGUAAUACGUAGGGUGCAAGCGUUAAUCGGAAUUACUGGGCGUAAAGCGUGCGCAGGCGGUUUUGUAAGACUGUCGUGAAAUCCCCGGGCUCAACCUGGGAAUGGCGAUGGUGACUGCAAGGCUAGAGUUUGGCAGAGGGGGGUAGAAUUCCACGUGUAGCAGUGAAAUGCGUAGAUAUGUGGAGGAACACCGAUGGCGAAGGCAGCCCCCUGGGUCAAAACUGACGCUCAUGCACGAAAGCGUGGGGAGCAAACAGGAUUAGAUACCCUGGUAGUCCACGCCCUAAACGAUGUCUACUAGUUGUCGGGUCUUAAUUGACUUGGUAACGCAGCUAACGCGUGAAGUAGACCGCCUGGGGAGUACGGUCGCAAGAUUAAAACUCAAAGGAAUUGACGGGGACCCGCACAAGCGGUGGAUGAUGUGGAUUAAUUCGAUGCAACGCGAAAAACCUUACCUACCCUUGACAUGGCUGGAAUCCCNGAGAGAUUGGGGAGUGCUCGAAAGAGAACCAGUACACAGGUGCUGCNUGGCUGUCGUCAGCUCGUGUNUGAGAUGUUGGGUUAAGUCCCGCAACGAGCGCAACCCUUGUCAUUAGUUGCUACGAAAGGGCACUCUAAUGAGACUGCCGGUGACAAACCGGAGGAAGGUGGGGAUGACGUCAAGUCCUCAUGGCCCUUAUGGGUAGGGCUUCACACGUCAUACAAUGGUACAUACAGAGCGCCGCCAACCCGCGAGGGGGAGCUAAUCGCAGAAAGUGUAUCGUAGUCCGGAUUGUAGUCUGCAACUCGACUGCAUGAAUUGGAAUCGCUAGUAAUCGCGGAUCAGC